rfam:Pteropus alecto contig51137, whole genome shotgun sequence.
GUCUACGGCCAUGCCACCUCGAACGUGCCCAAUCUCGUCUGAUCUCAGAAACUAAGCAGGGUCGGGCCUGGUUAGUACUUGGAUGGGAGACCACAUAGGAAGACCAGGCACUGUAGGUG